rnacentral:ncRNA from 2 species
ACAAGAAACCACGGGAGUGCGCGCGCCGCGCACUGAGAGGCCCCAGCGCAGAACGCGCAUGGAACGAGGGGCGACCGUUUGAACCUGUCCGGGUCAUGCCGGCGAAGGGAAGGAGCCUUUUCAUCAUG